rnacentral:rRNA from 2 species
CGCCGCGUGAGGGAUGACGGCCUUCGGGUUGUAAACCUCUUUUAGCAGGGAAGAAGCGAAAGUGACGGUACCUGCAGAAAAAGCGCCGGCUAACUACGUGCCAGCAGCCGCGGUAAUACGUAGGGCGCAAGCGUUAUCCGGAAUUAUUGGGCGUAAAGAGCUCGUAGGCGGUUUGUCGCGUCUGCUGUGAAAUCCCGAGGCUCAACCUCGGGCCUGCAGUGGGUACGGGCAGACUAGAGUGCGGUAGGGGAGAUUGGAAUUCCUGGUGUAGCGGUGGAAUGCGCAGAUAUCAGGAGGAACACCGAUGGCGAAGGCAGAUCUCUGGGCCGUAACUGACGCUGAGGAGCGAAAGGGUGGGGAGCAAACAGGCUUAGAUACCCUGGUAGUCCACCCCGUAAACGUUGGGAACUAGUUGUGGGGUCCAUUCCACGGAUUCCGUGACGCAGCUAACGCAUUAAGUUCCCCGCCUGGGGAGUACGGCCGCAAGGCUAAAACUCAAAGGAAUUGACGGGGACCCGCACAAGCGGCGGAGCAUGCGGAUUAAUUCGAUGCAACGCGAAGAACCUUACCAAGGCUUGACAUAUACGAGAACGGGCCAGAAAUGGUCAACUCUUUGGACACUCGUAAACAGGUGGUGCAUGGUUGUCGUCAGCUCGUGUCGUGAGAUGUUGGGUUAAGUCCCGCAACGAGCGCAACCCUCGUUCUAUGUUGCCAGCACGUAAUGGUGGGAACUCAUGGGAUACUGCCGGGGUCAACUCGGAGGAAGGUGGGGAUGACGUCAAAUCAUCA